rnacentral:tRNA from 1 species
UCCGAAUUGGUGUAGUGGCUAACAUUUGACGCUCUCAUCCCACGGGGUACCGUCAAGCCCGGGGUUCGAUUCCCCGAUUCGGAG